UUGCCGGUUCUUGGUUGGUCUUGAGGCACAAACUGAGAGGCUGUGGGAAACUCUCUGGACUUGGUGUUCCUUGUGUUGCUAACCCCCCUGUCUUUUCAAAGAGUCUG
rnacentral:miRNA from 1 species